AGGGUUCGAUCCUGGCUCAGGAUGAACGCUAGCGGCAGGCCUAACACAUGCAAGUCGAGGGGUAACAGGGAAAAGCUUGCUUUUCCGCUGACGACCGGCGCACGGGUGCGUAACGCGUAUGCAACCUACCUUUUACAGGAGUAUAGCCCAGAGAAAUUUGGAUUAAUCCUCCAUAAUAUCUUGAUCAUGCAUAUGAUAAAGAUUAAAGCUUCGGUGGUAAAAGAUGGGCAUGCGUCCUAUUAGCUUGUAGGUGAGGUAAUGGCUCACCUAAGCUCCGAUAGGUAGGGGUCCUGAGAGGGAGAUCCCCCACACUGGUACUGAGACACGGACCAGACUUCUACGGAAGGCAGCAGUAAGGAAUAUUGGACAAUGGAGGCAACUCUGAUCCAGCCAUGCCGCGUGAAGGAAGACGGCCUUAUGGGUUGUAAACUUCUUUUAUACAGGAAGAAACCUUUCCACGUGUGGAAAGCUGACGGUACUGUAAGAAUAAGGAUCGGCUAACUCCGUGCCAGCCGCCGCGGUAAUAC
rnacentral:rRNA from 1 species